AGAGUUUGAUCCUGGCUCAGGACGAACGCUGGCGGCGUGCCUAAUACAUGCAAGUAGAACGCUGAAGAGAGGAGCUUGCUCUUCUUGGAUGAGUUGCGAACGGGUGAGUAACGCGUAGGUAACCUGCCUUGUAGCGGGGGAUAACUAUUGGAAACGAUAGCUAAUACCGCAUAACAAUGGAUGACACAUGUCAUUUAUUUGAAAGGGGCAAUUGCUCCACUACAAGAUGGACCUGCGUUGUAUUAGCUAGUAGGUGAGGUAACGGCUCACCUAGGCGACGAUACAUAGCCGACCUGAGAGGGUGAUCGGCCACACUGGGACUGAGACACGGCCCAGACUCCUACGGGAGGCAGCAGUAGGGAAUCUUCGGCAAUGGGGGCAACCCUGACCGAGCAACGCCGCGUGAGUGAAGAAGGUUUUCGGAUCGUAAAGCUCUGUUGUAAGUCAAGAACGAGUGUGAGAGUGGAAAGUUCACACUGUGACGGUAGCUUACCAGAAAGGGACGGCUAACUACGUGCCAGCAGCCGCGGUAAUACGUAGGUCCCGAGCGUUGUCCGGAUUUAUUGGGCGUAAAGCGAGCGCAGGCGGUUUGAUAAGUCUGAAGUUAAAGGCUGUGGCUCAACCAUAGUUCGCUUUGGAAACUGUCAAACUUGAGUGCAGAAGGGGAGAGUGGAAUUCCAUGUGUAGCGGUGAAAUGCGUAGAUAUAUGGAGGAACACCGGUGGCGAAAGCGGCUCUCUGGUCUGUAACUGACGCUGAGGCUCGAAAGCGUGGGGAGCGAACAGGAUUAGAUACCCUGGUAGUCCACGCCGUAAACGAUGAGUGCUAGGUGUUGGAUCCUUUCCGGGAUUCAGUGCCGCAGCUAACGCAUUAAGCACUCCGCCUGGGGAGUACGACCGCAAGGUUGAAACUCAAAGGAAUUGACGGGGGCCCGCACAAGCGGUGGAGCAUGUGGUUUAAUUCGAAGCAACGCGAAGAACCUUACCAGGUCUUGACAUCCCGAUGCUAUUUCUAGAGAUAGAAAGUUACUUCGGUACAUCGGUGACAGGUGGUGCAUGGUUGUCGUCAGCUCGUGUCGUGAGAUGUUGGGUUAAGUCCCGCAACGAGCGCAACCCCUAUUGUUAGUUGCCAUCAUUCAGUUGGGCACUCUAGCGAGACUGCCGGUAAUAAACCGGAGGAAGGUGGGGAUGACGUCAAAUCAUCAUGCCCCUUAUGACCUGGGCUACACACGUGCUACAAUGGUUGGUACAACGAGUUGCGAGUCGGUGACGGCAAGCUAAUCUCUUAAAGCCAAUCUCAGUUCGGAUUGUAGGCUGCAACUCGCCUACAUGAAGUCGGAAUCGCUAGUAAUCGCGGAUCAGCACGCCGCGGUGAAUACGUUCCCGGGCCUUGUACACACCGCCCGUCACACCACGAGAGUUUGUAACACCCGAAGUCGGUGAGGUAACCUUUUGGAGCCAGCCGCCUAAGGUGGGAUAGAUGAUUGGGGUGAAGUCGUAACAAGGUA
rnacentral:rRNA from 1 species